rnacentral:rRNA from 1 species
UACGUAGGGCGCAAGCGUUAUCCGGAAUUAUUGGGCGUAAAGAGCUCGUAGGCGGUUUGUCGCGUCUGCUGUGAAAACCUAAGGCUCAACCUUGGGCUUGCAGUGGGUACGGGCAGACUAGAGUGCGGUAGGGGGUGACUGGAAUUCCUGGUGUAGCGGUGGAAUGCGCAGAUAUCAGGAGGAACACCGAUGGCGAAGGCAGGUCACUGG